CGAUAUUAUAGAGAGUAAAUAUGCACAACUUGCAAGUGAAGUGUUUAACCAGGCUUCAUCAUCAUCUUCAAGUGAACAAUAGAUUGAAGCAUUUAACAGGUUAGUAGAUUAAAAAUCCUAUUAAUCACAUUUUAAAAAAUACUUUAUCUAAAACUUAAAAAUAAUACAAUUUUACAUUAAUCACCUCUUCUUAUACUUUUCCUUGCCUGUGAAAAAGAUAGAGCUCAAACAAAAAAAAAAUUGGUGUAGGGGCAUUUAAUACUGAGUUGAUUUUAUUCUCCUUAUUGUAUGUAUUACUUGGAACCUUCCUCAAUGGAGGUUUUUGAUAUUGACCUAUAGAUAUAGAGGAUGAUGAUUUCUGGGAAUGCUAUCUAUGAUUCACCCUUUAUUUUCUUUUAUCAAGAACCAACAUAUUCACACCGAAUAGUUUAUAAAUGUACUUGAGAGCUGAGAUAAUCAGUACCGAUUAGAAUGAUGAGAAUAUUCUACCACUCUUGCGCUGUUAUUUUUUGUACUAUGUAAAAAUAUUUUUGCAAAUCCUGCCAACUUAUUUAACUACAACCCCAAAUGGAUAAGCUGCCAGAAGUUUGAUCCCAUGUUAUGCCCAAUUGUCAAGCAUUUGAUUUCUUCUGAACUAUUGUCUUGAGAAUUUUAAUAUUCCAUUUAUGCAUUAGUAAAAGAAGAUAAGUCUAUCGUUAUCUGUUUGAGAAGAAACAGUUUUUGAAAAAUAAAACUGCAAGUGCAAUGAAAAUGAGCUUUCUGUCUCAAUACCAUUUAUUUUUUAAUUAUGUUUCAUCUCAUUCCUUCGAUUGCCUGGCAUGAGAUAGAGUUAGCAAAUAACACUAGUAUUUCAAUUUUCAACAGCUUUAAUAGUGACUUUGUUCUUAACAAUUGUAACAUCUGGUUUUUAACAGUAGUUGAAGGUGACUUCCCCCAAGUUAGCUAUUUUAUCUUACCAGUGCUAGUUCAUAUUAUGUAGAAAAAAGAAUAGAAUCAGUUGAAUUACUUAGAGUAAUAUGUUUUUAUGCUACAGCUUCUUUCAAAGAAUGACACCAAAUAGCAUUCUUUGAAACCAAAUAGCAUACAGAUAGUUUUGGGUUGAUAUUUUUUGGACUCCAGGUAAUGCAAAGAGCUUAUAAUUAUCAAAAGUGAAUUCUCUUUCACAUAAUUAAUUGGAAAGUUGAUCUGUUAUACUGUGUGCUUCUACACAUCUGGCAUGUUCUAGAAGUUGCAUAUCGAUGUGUGCUAGAUGCCAUUAAUAUUAUACUCUAUGAUGAAAUUGUUACAAUGCUCAUGUGAAUUUUUUUUCCAUUACAUUAAGGUUUAUGAAUUAAAUAAAAAUAUAGUCAUCAAGACAAGUAAAUUUAUAAGCAAGAAUGAAGUUCCAUACCCAAUAUCACCUAGAGUUUUCAUAAUCUAGCUCAAUGAACAUAGAAUUGAUGAAAUAAUAUACCUCAAAGUAGAACCAAAAGGUGAGUUGUAAAGGGAAGUUUGGUAUAUGUACAAUCAUCGGUUCUUCAUAGAGACUUGAUUUGAAGUCAUAAUCGACUCUUUCUCAAAAGUUUCUAUAUGCAUUUUGUAUUUCAAUCGCUUUUCCUCCUUAUGUGUAGAAUCGAAUGAAGCUCUAUAUAGAAUGUGCUUGCCAGAAUAAAACAAUUUGCUAUGCAGGUUUUAGUAUGACUAGGAUGUGUGAUUUAGAACUUCAUCAGUCUUCUGAUCAUUGUCUGUGAAUGUAGGAAAUAUAAUGCGACGUUUUUCUGCUACAAUAUUGCCUACUAUUAUGUCAACUGAUAAUUGUAUUAUUUCACUAAGGCGAUCAGUGUAGUCUUUGAUGAAUCUAAUCUUCUUCUUUAAUUUUUUAUUCUUUAUUACAAACUGACAUAAACUUUUUACUUCAACAGAUCAAAAGCUUGGAAGUCUGAAGAACUUAUUGUUGAAGAAAGUGCACAUCAAGCUUAAGAACAAGAUAAUUUUGUUAUGUUAGGGAUGGUUUGAAGGCAUUGUCUUAUGUACAUAUGCUGCAAUUUUAUUUUUUUCUAUUUUUAGGAAUUGUUAAAAAUGAUGUUAUACUAUUUGGAUUGCUUUCUGGUAAUGUGAUGAUGUUAUACUAUUUGAAUUUC
rnacentral:lncRNA from 1 species